rnacentral:tRNA from 1 species
AAUAAAAUGCCUGAAAAAAGGGUUACUUUGAUAGAGUAAAUUAUGCGAGCAAAUCUCGUUUUUAUUA